rnacentral:misc_RNA from 1 species
UGUUGAUCAGGUUUUUCAAAUAGUUGGGCAUUGUUGAUUGUAUUUAUUGUCAUUUGUCAUUGAUGAAUUGGGCCAAUGUAAAAUAACCAAAAGCAAGGUUUUUAUUUUUAUUUAUAUAUAUAUAUAAUUAGCUUGACGCAUGUAGCAUUUGGCCUGGAGCCGUUGUUAUCAUUAACAGUCAUAAAUUUUAUAGCAUGGGAG